rnacentral:rRNA from 1 species
CCUGCCUAUAAGACUGGGAUAACUUCGGGAAACCGGAGCUAAUACCGGAUAUGUUCUUUUCUCGCAUGAGAAAAGAUGGAAAGACGGCGUCUCGCUGUCACUUAUAGAUGGGCCCGCGGCGCAUUAGCUAGUUGGUGAGGUAAUGGCUCACCAAGGCAACGAUGCGUAGCCGACCUGAGAGGGUGAUCGGCCACACUGGGACUGAGACACGGCCCAG